CUGACUUUUCUUUUUCUUUUUUCUGCUAACUCACUCCAUGAAGCUCACUACUAAAUUUGAUAGAUGAACGGAAAAUAUCUUUUAUCAAAAAUAAAAAGAGUCUAAUAAUGGAGAAAGAAUCGAAGAAAAUACAAGAAAAAUGAAAGGUGAUCUUCCAUGUUUCAGAAUCAAUUAAAAUGAAUGUGAGGCACUGUGUUCAUCCCAGAAACCGAAGAAACAUGAAAAAUAAUCACAGCAGCAACCAUGCAUCAUUAAUGCUGUUGAUACUUCAAUUCAAUAGAUAAAAACACAGGCCAUUACAAGAAAGCUAGGACAUACAGAGGACUCCAACAACCAUUACAGAACAUAACCAAAUACCCUUCAAUGAAAAACCAAAAAAUUCGACAUUCCGAUCCUUUUUUAUGAGAUUAUGAAUGAAAAAGAGAAAGAUAAAGGCACCUGACUAUGGACUCCAUCAUCAUCCUCUUAACUAGCUUUCUCUUCUUUGGAAACAAACUCCCAUCCUUGUGCUUAAACUUCAUUUCAGCUGUGAACAUUAACCCCAUUUUCGGCUCCACUGGAUUUGGAUAUACUUUCACACCCAUAGCUUCUUCUCCCUCUAAAUCUUGCCACCUUAUUUCUUCUUUCGGAAAGACGUAGGCCUUUGGCAAAGUGGGUUGUUUAUUUUGGCUUUCCUUUCAAUUUGUAGGAAAAGACAAGG
rnacentral:lncRNA from 1 species